GAAUAUUGGUCAAUGGGCGCAGGCCUGAACCAGCCAAGUAGCGUGAAGGAUGACUGCCCUAUGGGUUGUAAACUUCUUUUAUAUGGGAAUAAAGUUUUCCACGUGUGGAAUUUUGUAUGUACCAUAUGAAUAAGGAUCGGCUAACUCCGUGCCAGCAGCCGCGGUAAUACGGAGGAUCCGAGCGUUAUCCGGAUUUAUUGGGUUUAAAGGGAGCGUAGGUGGACAGUUAAGUCAGUUGUGAAAGUUUGCGGCUCAACCGUAAAAUUGCAGUUGAUACUGGCUGUCUUGAGUGCAGUUGAGGCAGGCGGAAUUCGUGGUGUAGCGGUGAAAUGCUUAGAUAUCACGAAGAACUCCGAUUGCGAAGGCAGCCUGCUAAGCUGCAACUGACAUUGAGGCUCGAAAGUGUGGGUAUCAAACAGGAUUAGAUACCCUGGUAGUCCACACGGUAAACGAUGAAUACUCGCUGUUUGCGAUAUACGGCAAGCGGCCAAGCGAAAGCGUUAAGUAUUCCACCUGGGGAGUACGCCGGCAACGGUGAAACUCAAAGGAAUUGACGGGGGCCCGCACAAGCGGAGGAACAUGUGGUUUAAUUCGAUGAUACGCGAGGAACCUUACCCGGGCUUAAAUUGCACUCGAAUGAUCCGGAAACGGUUCAGCUAGCAAUAGCGAGUGUGAAGGUGCUACAUGGUUGUCGUCAGCUCGUGCCGUGAGGUGUCGGCUUAAGUGCCAUAACGAGCGCAACCCUUGUUGUCAGUUACUAACAGGUGAUGCUGAGGACUCUGACAAGACUGCCAUCGUAAGAUGUGAGGAAGGUGGGGAUGACGUCAAAUCAGCACGGCCCUUACGUCCGGGGCUACACACGUGUUACAAUGGGGGGUACAGAGGGCCGCUACCACGCGAGUGGAUGCCAAUCCCUAAAACCCCUCUCAGUUCGGACUGGAGUCUGCAACCCGACUCCACGAAGCUGGAUUCGCUAGUAAUCGCGCAUCAGCCACGGCGCGGUGAAUACGUUCCCG
rnacentral:rRNA from 1 species